rnacentral:rRNA from 1 species
GAUCAUGGCUCAGGAUGAACGCUAGCUACAGGCUUAACACAUGCAAGUCGAGGGGCAGCAUGAACUUAGCUUGCUAAGUUUGAUGGCGACCGGCGCACGGGUGAGUAACACGUAUCCAACCUGCCGAUGACUCGGGGAUAGCCUUUCGAAAGAAAGAUUAAUACCCGAUAGCGUAGUUCUUCCGCAUGGUAGAACUAUUAAAGAAUUUCGGUCAUCGAUGGGGAUGCGUUCCAUUAGG